UUCGAGGAAAAAAUAAAUAAGAGUAUGUUGUUUCAAACAAGAGAAAGUCAGUUUCAAAUUUAACCUCAAUCGAGGUAUGGUUUAUUGCUGCAUCACACAUGAUUUAUUGUCAUUUGUUACCUCUACCAAUUUGAUUGUAUUUUGCUUAACCAUGUUUUUAGACGUAUUUGUUUAAGUAAAGGAACAAAUCGUUUUGAAAUAAUCAUAUUUGAUUUUUUAAAAGAAUAUUGUAGUUUUAACAGAGGAAAUAAGAGUGUCCAUGCCCGAGUCCCGGGUUUUCGGCGUGCCUGAUAGUGUUGUCAUUCUAUUUGGGAACAAUGUCGUCUGUCGUAGUGCUGUCCUGUCAUCGCAGCAGGCAGCAAUUUGGAACUUUUUGGAACGGCAAUUUAACCCACGUUUUGGAUAAAAAAAAUUGACCUCACAGAUUCAUUUCUGUCCUGGAUUCGAAACUCUUAACAAUUCUGCUAACGUGAAAUCCAAACGUAUUGGAUCUUUGCAAUUUAUAAGUUAUUUCAUUGGCAGACCGAAAACUCAGAUGUGGACAAUUUCGUAUACAUAAAUGCAUAAAUUGGAUUAGGACAUUGAAUUGAAUUGAACGUGAAAUAUUUUCAGAUUAAACUCUGAAGAUUGUAAACACAAGAAAGGCGGCAAAUUCAAUUGCAAUUAAUAAUGACAGCAGUGACAAACAGAGUUACAAACUUACCAAGAUGUGAAAGUUUGUUUUACUUUUUCUGUUGGACUAGUGCUGUCUUUUAUUCUAUUUAUAAAGUGUCUUUAUUUAGUACUUACUUUAAUGAUUAUCAUGAUAUCUAUAAUGAUUUUUCACAAGGAUGGAUAUGGCUAGGAAGGAAACAAGAUGUUUCAGAUCAGGAAUGGAAUACAUGGAUGCCAUUAAUAGUUAGAUUAAUGCCAUGGAUAUUUCUCCAUCACUCUGUUAGCUAUAUUAUAAAAGCUUUACCAAAUACUAUGCUAUUAUGUUACUGGUACAUUUUCACUUCUGUUUCAUUCUUAUAUUUUUCUAUUGGUAUAUUAGGGACAUUAUGUGCAUUAAUUCAACCAAGCAUACUGUAUAUUCUAACUUAUAAACACAAAGACCAUAUUAUAUGGUUCAUAAAUACAUUAUUUUUAUUCUUGAUACAUUUCCUUAAAAUUCGUGAUGGCAUUUUUCAAAGUAUGCUACAACUGAACGAUGAAGAACAUUAUCUUCUAACUCUUACUAUGUGUUGGAUUCAAUUAAGAAGCAUUAGCUGCAGUAUAGAUAAUAAACAAAUAAGUGUGGAUAACAAUUACACAGAUACAUCAUAUUUCAUAAAGGGUUUCUUGUGGGCAUUAGCAUACUCCUUAUAUUUGCCUACAUUACAAUUAGGACCAUUGAUUUUAUACCAUGACUUCAUUGAUUCUGUAUGUAAAAUGUGUAAACUGUUACAGAUAAAAAAACCGUUUCAAGCCUGGAAGUUAGCUGAACUUGGAUAUUUUGCUCUAAAUUUAAUCAGAUACACAUUUUGGAUAUUAUUUGCUAAUUUCUUUUUACAUUUUCUGUAUUUUAACGCAAUGCAUUAUCAUCCUAAGGUUGUUGAAGAUUUAAAUCCAUGGGCUUUAUAUGGAUUAGGAUAUUGCAUGGGUCAAUUUUUUCUAAUUAAAUAUGUCGUAGUAUAUGGCUUAAAUCAUAUCGUAUGUGCAAUUGAUCGCAUUAAAGCCCCUUCCCAGCCAAAAUGUGUUGCAAGAAUUCAUUUGUAUUCUGAUAUGUGGAAAUAUUUUGAUGAGGGUUUAUACAAAUUUCUUAUAAGAUAUAUUUAUACACCGUUGUUAAAAUCGAAUUUCAAUAAAUUAUUUGCUUCAUUUCUGUGCUUUAUAUUUGUUUUCGUUUGGCAUGGAAUGCAAAUAAAUAUUUUUAUUUGGGCGUUUCUUAAUUUUAUAGGAUUAAACAUUGAAAACUUAACGAAGUUAAUUGAAAAAAGUAAAUAUUGCAUUAACAUUCGGGAAAAAUAUAUGUCGCCAAUAAGUGCCAGAAGAAUUCAUUGUGUUUUAACAAGUCCUUUACUAGCAAUGUCAGUAAUAUCGAACUUUUAUUUUUUUGCUGGCGAAGAAGUAGGAUACAUCUACAUUUAUAGGAUAUUUCACGAUAUCUGGUAUUCUACUCUUAUUUUACUCUAUUUCCUCUAUUGUUGCUGCCAAGUUUCUAUAGAUCUAAAAAAUUGGGAGUCUAAAGAAUUUUGAUAGAAGUCAGACACUAUAAAUCGCAUAAAGGGAACUCCCAGUUCCAAAGAACUUUAAUAGUGUACUUCUGACCACAUCCGACAACCAAGGCACAAGUAUAAGAAUAUUGUCUUUUUAAUUCAUCACUUGUAAAAAUGGAAAACUGUUUAACUAAUUGUGAUGCAGGCAUAGACAACAGUUGAGUGUCUGAGAUGCAACUUCUGCCAGCAUAUCUAAUAAAGCAGCAGGACUAUCAUUUCCCAUAAUACCUGAAACAAAUGUGUGAUCAUGAAAUGUGAAAUGAUUAACAAUUGAAAAAAUGCAUACGAAUGCAAAGGUAUAGAUUAUGCAGAAAGGUAUAUUAUAUAUUCACUUAUUCAUUCUUCCAUAAAGAAAAAUUAUACUCAAUGUUUACUACAAAUAUAUAUAUAU